rnacentral:rRNA from 1 species
GACGAACGCUGGCGGCGUGCCUAACACAUGCAAGUCGAGCGGGGUUGAAGCGAGGGGUAACUCGAGUUUCUACCUAGCGGCGGACGGGUGAGUAACGCGUGGGCAACCUGCCUCAAGGACUGGGAUAACAGCUCGAAAGGGCUGCUAAUACCGGAUAAGCCUAUGGCCUCGCAUGGGGCCAUGAGCAAAGGGGAAACCCGCCUUGAGAUGGGCCCGCGUCCCAUCAGCUAGUUGGUGAGGUGAAGGCUCACCAAGGCGACGACGGGUAGCCGGCCUGAGAGGGUGACCGGCCACACUGGGACUGAGACACGGCCCAGACUCCUACGGGGGGCAGCAGUGGGGAAUCUUGCACAAUGGGCGAAAGCCUGAUGCAGCGACGCCGCGUGAGCGAAGAAGGCCUCGGUUGUAAGACUCUGUCUGGAGGGACGGAAGGAAGUAGACGGUACCUCCGGAGGAAGGCCACGGCUAACUACGUAG